rnacentral:rRNA from 1 species
UACAGAGGGGGCAAGCGUUAUUCGGAAUUAUUGGGCGUAAAGGGCGCGUAGGCGGCUUCGCAAGUGGAAGGUGAAAUCCCUCGGCUCAACCGGGGAACUGCGUCCGAUACUGGCGGGCUUGAAUUCGGGAGAGGGAUGUGGAAUUCCAGGUGUAGCGGUGAAAUGCGUAGAUAUCGAGAGGAACACCGGUGGCGAAGGCGGCCAACUGGACGAAUACUGACGCUGAGACACGAAAGCGUGGGGAGCAAACAGG